UUUUACGCCUUUUCCCCAAUCUCUUAUUGCCAAAAGAUUUCGUUUCUUAUGGGCAGAUUCAGCUGGUUACGAUGGGUGAGCGGAUUCGAUCGAGCAUUUCUGGAAGGUCCAGUCGUUCUUCUUUUUGGUUGGUCUGUGUUCGCUAAUUCCGGUUGUUGUACAGUGCCGGCGGCGGCGCUUGCCGUCUUCGGUUACUGGCCGGACGAAUUCGAUUGCGAAUGGUUUGGUUUCGGAUUCGCAGAGGGCGGUUUUGCUCGCCCGGAGUAAGCUUUUCUUUCUUUCUCUCUUUUUCUUCCCUGCGAUGAUGUAGUUAUUGCUUAGCUCAUGAACGGAAGUAGCUGAAGCUUUUCAUCGAUCAGCUUCGUACCGUCGCAGUUUUUUCUUUUUACUGGGAAGAAUCCUGUCGAUUGUGAGACCUUGAGGUGGCCAUGGGAGGUAUCGGCGUCUUCAUGCAACAGGUUCUCAUCCCUACCCCAAAAUAAGCUACUAUGAUAUUCUUGGUGUUUCGGAGGAUGCCAGACGCAAUGAGAUUAAGAAGGCUUUUCAUGUGGUGGGUAGAUCUUUUGUACUAAAUGUAGUCGGGGGAAACUAAUGGGAAUGACAGUGGUUUUUAACCAAUUCAUAUUAUGAGAUUGUGGGAAGGUUGGACUUUGGCCUUAGCUUAAAGCGUGGAAAUAUUCGAUUGACGAGGCAAAUAGGGGCUUCAAAAAUUCGCCCUCAAGAUCUCCUAAUUUUAGUAUCA